rnacentral:sRNA from 1 species
GCUGGGCAUGGUGGUGCAUGCCUGUAAUCCCAGUGACUCAGAAGGCUGAGGCAGGAUGAUUACAAGUUCAAAGCUAGCCUCAGCAACUCAGGGAGGAUAUAAGAACUUAGUGAGAACCUGUCUCAA